ACGAUGAACUCCUGGCGCUGGCACACCACGCUGGCAGCGCCCCCCCACGAUGACCCAGGGGUUCAGCACCGUCUGCCCCCCCGUCACCGACGUCCCCGCAGCCUCGGCCGCGUCACGGAAGCCUCUGACGAUGAGGGGCAUCACUUUGUCCCGCUCCUCGUCCGUCAUCUUCUGGCUGACGCUGAGCAGCAUCAGCAUGUUGUCGCACUCGGUGAUGCCCAUGGCGUACAGGUCGCUCAGCACGUUGGCGCAGGCGAUGCGGCCCAUCAUGUAGGGGUCGUCCACCAGAGGGUAGAAAAAGUCGGUGGUCUGCACCAAGGAGAGCCCCCCGUGGCGCAGGGGGAUCACACAG
rnacentral:lncRNA from 1 species